rnacentral:ncRNA from 1 species
AUAGGGAAUGAGGUUCUCCCUUAGUCAAUGACUAAAACCGCUAUUUAGCUGAUGACUUCUGCAAAC